rnacentral:tRNA from 1 species
GAGCUUAUAGCUCAGUGGUAGAGUGUGUGCUUAGCAUACAUGAGGUCCUGGGUUCUAUCCCCAGUAACUACA